GGGCACGGCCAGUCCGUCUCGAAGCGCGCGCCCGGCAACACCGCCAGCAACAUGUGGCACCUCGUGCUGUGCGCCAUCGUGUGCGUCCUCAUCUUCGCCAAGAACCCGCCGCCCAUCUUCGGCUGGUACCAGCAGCCCGGUCCACGCUUCUGGCCCAAGUACCUGCUGUUCAGGGCGCUGCUCCAGCUCCGCAAGCUCCGGUCGAAGCCGCAGCUGGACAAGGAUGGCCUGCCAGUGCACCCGCUCGCCGACAAGGAGUGCACGCAGAAGCUCAGCCAGCAUCCCCUGGCUUUCGAUGCGGUGUUUUUCAUCGCCGUUAACAUGGAGGGCAUCUACGUGAUCGUGGGGAGCGAGCGCAGACACAAGGACAUCGUCAACGGCCUGGUCUACGUCAUGAUGCCAGGCAUCGGGCUGCUGCGCUCCAAGAAGCUGCCGGACACGGUGCUGUUCGGCGCGCAGGAAGGCAAGUUCGGCGCCGAGGGCAUCCGCAUCGAGCCGGUGGAGGCGCUCAAGAAGUGGCGGGUGGACUUCGAGGGCGUCAUGCACCUCAAAGACGACCCCUCCAAGGAGUUCCCCGUCAAGCUUAGCGGUCUCUGGAGCUCCGACUGGCCCGUCUUCAACUUCGACACGGAUCUGCACCCACACGCCCUCGCCACCACCAUCGCCACUGAGCCCUGGAGCCGGGAGUACUUCACCGCCCUCAAGAACGCGCACCAGACCCACUACGAGCACAUGGGCUACCUGAAGGGCACUCUCCAAGUCGGCGGCGAGACGCACAGCCUCAACCUCAUGUCGCUCAGGGACCACAGCAUCGGCGAGGCGCGGGACUGGGACCUCAUGCAUCGCUACGCCUUCUUCAUGAUGUUCCUCGAGGACGGCACCAUGGCCGUGGUGGGCAUCAUCAACCAGCCGUGCACUUGCUCUGUGAUGCAGUCGGGGUACGUGUACACUCCUGAAGGCAAGAUCAACCCUCUCGAGUGGUGCGACUUCAAACUGUACCAGCACGGCGAGCAGGGAACCCCGCCCACGGACGCGGCGUUCAGCUUCAAAGCGGGUGAAACGGUGUACCGCGUGAAAGCGCACGUGGAGGACUUCGGCGUGCACUACGUGGGCUGGCGCUGGGAGGCGCGCAUGGUGGAGCGCUUCAUGAGCUACGAGGUGAACGGCGUCCGCGGCCGCGGCGUCUCCGAGUUCCACUACCACAACGAUAGCGGCAGGAAGGCCGACACCUCCGGCGACCCCGAGUGGUUCCCCGCGCUGCUCAAGGAGACCUACCGCGACAGGGAGUAGCGGGCACCACGCCACCGCGCCACCGCGAGGCUGGAUCCAGGGACGGGUUCAGGGGCGGGCGCACAGUGGACCAGCCAAAACUCUGGAGCUCAAACCCCGUCUAGAGUUUUGGCCGCCUCCAUCGGUCUUCUGGCCCACUGCGGGGGUCUCGCAAAAGUUGCCUUCCUGCAGGGGCACAGUGCGUCUUGUUGCCACCUCUCAGCCUUCAGGGACACACACACACACACACACACACACACACACACACACACACACACACACACACACACACACACACACACACACACACACACACACACACACUGGAUCCGCGCCUGCGUCACCGACAAAUAUUGCCACGAGGCACGCCGCGCAAACCAACGACUGUGAUACGAGAAAUGAAUGAAUAAAUUGGCUGAUUGAAAACACG